rnacentral:rRNA from 1 species
CCUACGGGGGGCAGCAGUGGGGAAUAUUGGACAAUGGGGGCCACCCUGAUCCAGCCAUGCCGCGUGUGUGAAGAAGGCCCUCGGGUUGUAAAGCACUUUCAGUGAGGAAGAACGCCUGGUGGUUAAUACCCAUCAGGAAAGACAUCACUCACAGAAGAAGCACCGGCUAACUCCGUGCCAGCAGCCGCGGUAAUACGGAGGGUGCGAGCGUUAAUCGGAAUUACUGGGCGUAAAGCGCGCGUAGGUGGCUUGAUAAGCCGGUUGUGAAAGCCCCGGGCUCAACCUGGGAACGGCAUCCGGAACUGUCAAGCUAGAGUGCAGGAGAGGAAGGUAGAAUUCCCGGUGUAGCGGUGAAAUGCGUAGAGAUCGGGAGGAAUACCAGUGGCGAAGGCGGCCUUCUGGACUGACACUGACACUGAGGUGCGAAAGCGUGGGUAGCAAACAGGAUUAGAUACCCUUGUAGUC